rnacentral:rRNA from 1 species
CCUACGGGGGGCAGCAGUGGGGAAUAUUGGACAAUGGGGGAAACCCUGAUCCAGCGACGCCGCGUGAGUGAAGAAGUAUUUCGGUACGUAAAGCUCUAUCAGCAGGAAAGAAAAUGACGGUACCUGACUAAGAAGCCCCGGCUAACUACGUGCCAGCAGCCGCGGUAAUACGUAGGGGGCAAGCGUUAUCCGGAUUUACUGGGUGUAAAGGGGGCGUAGACGGCAGCGCAAGUCUGGAGUGAAAUGCCGGGGCCCAACCCCGGAACUGCUCUGGAAACUGUGAAGCUGGAGUGCAGGAGAGGUAAGCGGAAUUCCUGGUGUAGCGGUGAAAUGCGUAGAUAUCAGGAGGAACACCGGCGGCGAAGGCGGCUUACCGGACUGUAACUGACGCUGAGGCUCGAAGGCGUGGGGAGCAAACAGGAUUAGAUACCCGAGUAGUC